rnacentral:antisense_RNA from 1 species
AAAUGCAGGAUUCUCUUUCUCAGGGCAGCGUCUAAACAGAGCAUCCUUAUUUGGGUCAGCACAAAUGGAAGAUGAACUGAACCACACACUGACUUCUAGGCUGCUGGUGUUACAUUUCUAAAGCACAGGCCUCCCUCUUACAUUCCUCUGCCAGCCUUCCUAUUGCAUAUGAGACACACCCCUAAGUUCACAUGGAGAUAACCAAGGCCCUUUGCCAUCUGGACAGCACCCGGUGGCUCCCACCUGGCCACUGUGCUUAGCGAUCGUGGCUUCGCCACAGCCUCUGAACAUUUGCAGAGCUCUGCCCUCGCUC